CAUGUCAUAGCAGGGCGCCGCAGUGCGUUGCAGGGAGUGCAGCAGGACCACGGCGACAGCUGCAACCAAGAUCUUGGUGCCAUCAUGAUCCAAGGAAAUAGGCUGGGCGAAAAGAAAACGUAAGGACUCAUGGGAGUAAACUCCCCAGAAGUAGGUUAGUAACAGGCAUUCCUGGGACAGGAUGCACGCAAACGGAAA